UUUUUGCGUGAAGGAUAGAAGAGGAAAGCCCGGAAUGCAAUGAGGACUUGAAACGGACAGCCUGACGGUGG
rnacentral:sRNA from 2 species